rnacentral:rRNA from 1 species
UGGGGAAUCGUUCCGCAAUGGACGAAAGUCUGACGGAGCAACGCCGCGUGAGUGAAGAAGGUUUUCGGAUCGUAAAACUCUGUCUUUUGGGGCGAACGUGAGUAUGGUGAACAAUCAUAGUCAGUGACGGUACCAAAGGAGGAAGCCACGGCUAACUACGUGCCAGCAGCCGCGGUAAUACGUAGGUGGCAAGCGUUGUCCGGAAUUAUUGGGCGUAAAGAGCGCGUAGGCGGGAUAGUCAGUCUGUUGUAAAAGUGCGGGGCUCAACCCCGUGAUGGCAAUGGAAACAGCUAUUCUUGAGUGCAGGAGAGGAAAGUGGAAUUCCCAGUGUAGCGGUGAAAUGCGUAGAUAUUGGGAGGAACACCAGUGGCGAAGGCGACUUUCUGGACUGUGUCUGACGCUGAGGCGCGAAAGCCAGGGGAGCGAACGGGAUUAGAUACCCCGGUAGUCCUGGCCGUAAACGAUGGGUACUAGGUGUGGGAGGUAUCGACCCCUUCCGUGCCGGAGUUAACGCAAUAAGUACCCCGCCUGGGGAGUACGGUCGCAAGACUGAAACUCAAAGGAAUUGACGGGGUCAUAGCUGUUUCCUG